AAUGCACUGCAUUUCUUUCUAUCUCGCAAAUCGGUGGUUUGUUGAUUGCUUCUGAGAUUCAAUCCCUAAUCUCGACGACAAUUUCAUCUCCGAGGAGUAUCAUAACAUCUCUCUCGAUAGCGAUUUCAGUAUCCAGUAGGCACAUCCAAGGGUAAGAGAAGACGUGGGAAGUCAAGAAGCCUUAAAUUGGCCAAGCUAAAAAAUCAAGAGGUGCGACUGCCUAUUUAGAUUUGUAAGGUUAGUGAACGACCAUAUGGUGAAGCAUCUGAAAAAUUUACCAGUGAAUUAAGGAUUGUCACUAGGCAAUUUGCCCCACAAAAUGUGCCCUUGUGGACCGAUAUUAGUGAAAAGGAUAAAGAGACAUUGAUUACAUGCCUUUAGGAAUGUUUUAAGUUUACCAAUGAACCCUAUGCUAUUGAAUCUAUCCUCAAAUUGAUGCAUGACCGGUAUAAGAACUAUCGCCAUGACCUACAACAAUGCUUUAGAAGUUUCCCCACAAUGGAAUCUGCCCUUGCGGAUCUACCUGAAAAUAUGGAAAAAUAAGUGUAGAGGUUCUUGUGCGAAAAGUGGUCUGGCAAGGAAUGUAAGGGAGACCAUGCCACUAGAGAGGAACUUGGACUUAUUGCGUUGUACAAAAAGACACAUUUUAGUGAGAAAAAAGAGGCAUGGGUGCAUGCUAAUGUUGAGGUUAGACAUGUAAGACAUUAGCCUUUAUGUACUUUCAUUCCUUAUAUCCUUAAUAAAAUGUGGUUGGAUACUUAGUUUUAUGUCAACUAAUGAAUAUUGUAGUAUAAGAUUGAAAAACAGCAGGACAAAGCUAUUGAACAUGGAUCUGGGGCACCUUAUUCUGAACACUUGAUGAUGAAAUGUUACACUGUGCAAUCGUUCAAUUUCUUAAGCAAAAGGCUUUGGUUUCAAGCUGUAAGACCUAAACCUUGCACCCCCUUUGAACCAAAACCUUAUUUUUUCUAGCCUAACCACUUAGAGAAGAGCUGGCCAACAAGUGGCCGGCAAGCCAUUUUCAUAUGGCCGACUAUACCUCUUCAUGGCCUCCUGGGUAUGUUCAGCGUAGCAGAUAUUUUGACAGUAGCCAAUUGUCCCCAUGUGCAUGUCUUGCACCAGCGGUCUCUUUACAAAUAUUUUUGACAUGAGAACCUAUUUUUCUAUAAAUACAAGGCCUCCCAUCAUGGUUUGGGGUUAGAAAAUUUUGCCGAGAGCCAAACUUGCCCAACACACUUCCCUCC